rnacentral:rRNA from 1 species
GACGAACGCUGGCGGCGUGCUUAACACAUGCAAGUCGAACGAAGUGGCGAACGGGUGAGUAAUACGUGGGUAACCUGCCCUCCUUUUUGGGAUAAGCCUUGGCAACGGGGUCUAAUACCGAAUAAAGGGGGAUGGGCUCGCGGCCUAUCAGCUUGUUGGUGGGGUGAGGGCCUACCAAGGCGGUGACGGGUAGCCGGCCUGAGGGGGUGACCGGCCAAAUUGGGACGGGGAUACGGCCCAGAUGCCUACGGGAGGCAGCAGGGGGGGAGAUUGCACAAGGGGCGAAAGCCUGAUCCAGCCAUGCCGGGUGUGUGAAGAAGGUCUUCGGAUUGUAAAGCACUUUAAGUUGGGAGGGAGUACCAACAGAAUAAGCACCGGCUAACUUCGUGCCAGCAGCCGCGUAAUUC